rnacentral:rRNA from 1 species
UACGGAGGAUGCGAGCGUUAUCCGGAUUUAUUGGGUUUAAAGGGUGCGCAGGCGGCACGGCAAGCCGGCGGUCAAAUCGCGGGGCUCAACCCCGCCCAGCCGUCGGAACUGCCGGGCUAGAGUGGGCGAGAAGUGCGCGGAAUGCGUGGUGUAGCGGUGAAAUGCAUAGAUAUCACGCAGAACUCCGAUUGCGAAGGCAGCGCACCGGCGCCCUACUGACGCACAGGCACGAAAGCGUGGGUAUCGAACAGG